AUGGAGGAGUGUUCUUAUGCAUAUUAUAUCCAUUGUUUUGCUCAUCAAUUACAUCUAGCUCUUGUUGCUACAUCAAAAGAAGUAGCCGAUGUUCACAACUUUUUUGAUCAUCUUGCUCUUGUUAUCAAUACGAUUAUGGCUUCUAGUAAGAGACAUGAUGAGUUGCAAGCAAAUCAAGUUGCUGAAAUGGAGCAUUUGAUUGAGCUCGGUGAGCUUGAAACUGGAAGUGGGGCUAAUCAAGUCGGAACUUUACAACGGCCUUGUGAUACUAGAUGGAGUUCACACUAUGCUUCUGUUUGCAGCCUUGUGAAAUUGUACAAACCAACAUUUUGGUACUUAAAAGCAUUACAACUACUAAAGGAUCUGAUACUUCACCUUCCGCAUGAGCAAAGGCUUCUGGUGCUGUCAAGUUGA
rnacentral:rRNA from 1 species